rnacentral:rRNA from 1 species
GACGAACGCUGGCGGCGUGCUUAACACAUGCAAGUCGAACGGAAAGGCCCUGCUUUUGUGGGGUGCUCGAGUGGCGAACGGGUGAGUAACACGUGAGUAACCUGCCCUUGACUUUGGGAUAACUUCAGGAAACUGGGGCUAAUACCGGAUAGGAGCUCCUGCUGCAUGGUGGGGGUUGGAAAGUUUCGGCGGUUGGGGAUGGACUCGCGGCUUAUCAGCUUGUUGGUGGGGUAGUGGCUUACCAAGGCUUUGACGGGUAGCCGGCCUGGGAGGGUGACCGGCCAACAUGGGAACGGGGAUCGGGCCAGACCUCCAAGGGGAGCAAGCGGGGGGGAAAUUGGAACAUGGGGCGGAGGCUGAAGGAAGCACGGCCGCGUGGGGGAUGACGGCCUUCGGGUUGUAACCGGUUUCGGCCUGGGAGGAAGUGUGUGUGACGGUAAUGGGUAAAGAAGCACCGGCUAACUACGUG